GGGUAGAUAGAUUGUAACUAAUUGGUUUAGGUUUGAAAAAUUUUGGGCCGCAUCAAGGAGAUUCUGGUACUUGCGGCUGAGUUUUGGCCGUAGUCGGGUGAGUGCUAACCCCAAGUGCAUUGAGAUGGAGGCGCAGGAGCAUAGGGCGACCGGCGACGGACCGGAGAGGAAUUUCAUGAGCAGGUAUUUCGUGGGCAGAUAUUCUCUGGGUGGAGAAACCAAACCUGGCAGACUUGCCUCAAAUGAUGGUGGAGGUCAGAGAGAUUGAUCUGGUGGUUGCUCUUCACCCGAAAGCCGGACGGAUUCUAAAAGGUAUGUUCUGCUACUCAGCCAUCGUUGGCAUCCUGGGCAAUCGAUCUCGUUCAGGCCUCGAUUAUGGGUAUGUUUUUCAACCCCUGAGGAACGAAACCCUAGAUUCUCAGUUAUUGGGAGCGUGUCGAUUCUGCAGAGGAGAGCGUGGACAGCAGAGUCUCUGGUGCUUGUGGCUAGCAGGUGAUCGCGAGGCCAAGAGAUGAGCAUUCGAGAAGAAGAGAGAUCGUUUUAUGAAUCCAGCUCUUGGGGCUCUCGGCGUUGUGGCGGAAUGAUUACAUCUUCAAAGGGAUAGCUCGAGGGCUGGGCGGAAAGUACUUAGUAGAAGAUGGCUACACCUAACCUGGGUUUCGUGAGAUUGCAGAUUGAGGUACCAGUGGGGUUUAACCCUGCUCCGCUGGUCACUUUGCACCUUGGUAAUGGUCAGUCCCUAAGGCAAGAAAUUGUUUAUGAAUGUAAGAUCCUUUACUGCUCCAUUUGUGGAGCCAUGUCUCAUGUGACAACAAACUGUCAGAGAAGCCUAAAAAGAGGGGUUGUGGAGGGAGGCGAAGGAGACCCGUUGGAGAGAGUUAAAAUUGUUGAUAGGGGGCAACCUUGAGGAGAACCACAGCGAGAAACGAGACAUCAGGUUUCUCUGGCAAACCCUCAAGAGGUGCAUGGUGGGACGGAUGGUCAGGAAGGGAACCACAGUGCUAUCAACCCUUUGUCAAUGCUCACUCGGGAUACCAGGCGUGUAGAGAAAAAGCAGUGAUGAGCAAAAUGGGAUAGACGAGUGGCUAUCAUCUCGUGCAGAUGUUAGAUGACUCUCAGCGGGUCGAAGCGGAACAGGUACCCGUGUGCUGUCUCCCCAAGCUAAUCCCUUUUCUAUUCUAAACUCUGUUCAUUGUACACACACAAACCAGGCUCGAUCAGUGUUCGCAUUUGGUGUGGCUGCAACGAUGCCUGAGAAAGCCCAUAAGGAGGCUAGUAUUCAAACCGCAGCGCAGUACGUUAAAUCUAUGAAGGGGAAGAACCAUGGAGAGUGAGGGAGGCAGCUGCUUCAGGAGAAGCAAGACCUCAACAUUUUGGCAGAGGGAUGGGUCGCCGUCUGUAGAAAGAGGAGGAAAGGAAGGGGGAUUUGGGGAGUGGAUCUGAGGGGAGCUGAGGAGUUGCAAAAAGGGAGCGGGACCAGCUUAGUCCCAGGGGAGAAAGGGGGAGGGGCAGACUCUGGUUUUCCAUGCAGUUUCAAAUAAUGUCCUGGAACGUCCAAAGGGUUGCAAGGGCUGCAACUCUGGUUUUCCAUGUAGCUUUCCUUAUGGAUAACUGUGGCCCAUGGGCAGAUUUUACCGAGCCUGGCCAGGAAAGCAAACUAUACCGGCGUGGAGAACUCGAUAGAAGAGGAGGAAGUGACGAGGGUUACCUGCAUGUGGACUGAAGGUGAUGUCCAAAGUCAGGGCUGGAUCAAAAACAGGUGGUGGCUUGCUGGUUUUUUCUAAGUCUGCAAAUGGGAUUUGUCUAUCUGUGUCAUAGGAGCUUAUAUGCCUGCUCACCCGCUUCACCAUAGCUGUGCACUAGGACAGCUUGCAAUUUCUUGCAGCAGAUCAGCAUUCCAACAAUCGUCAUGGGGCACUUCAAUGCAAUGAAGCAUGCUUCUAAUAAAACCGGGCGCCUUCCCUCAUAUCAGUCUUGUAGCCAGUUUCGUUCCUUUUUAGAGGAAUGUGGGCUUUUUGAGGUACGGACCCAGGAAGCCCCUAUACCUGGUCGAAUCACAAAAGGGGCCAAGGGAAGAUUUGGUGCAAGCUGGAUUGGUGUUUGCUUAAUCAACAAUGGCUCGAAAGCAGUCUUGGACUCUUGGGUAGAGAUCUCUUAGAGCGAGAGCUAGGGUCUCUUCAGGCCACAAGGCUCUUGUGUUUUCCAACAAGGAACUUUCUACUGUGACUAAACCUCCUUGUCGCUUCAGAUUCUAUAGGCCUUGGCUGUCCAACACACUUGUUGUGGACAUGAUCAGGCACGCUCGGGAGGAGCCUUCUUAUGGUUGUCCUAUGUUAAGGGUUCUUGCAAAACUUGGUAGUGUCAAAGCAAGCCUUAAACAAUGGAAAAGAGAGAGUGGUAACAUCUUAGCAGAGAGGGUAAAAGCUUACCAGCAAGCUGGAAAGUUGACAAGAGGUAAUAGAAAAGGGCAACUGGGAUCUAUGAGAGGAGGUAGAUCAGACUAGGGAGGAGCUCAAUCAGAAGCUGUUCAUGGAGGAAAUCUAUUGGAGUGAUAGAGCCAAAGUUAGGUGGUUGCGUGAGGGGGACCGCAACACCAAAUUCUUCCAGGCUUCGGCCAAAGGAAGACAGGAAAGGAAUACCAUACACAGUUUUCAGGUUGGAAAUCAUUUGUAUUCAACUAUAUCGGAUAUUUUGGAGAGAUCGAUAAGUUUUUAUGAGGAAUUCAUGAAAGAAGGCCAGGCUAGCGGGAACCUUCAAAAUACUGAAUUGAAGGGAAGAGUGUCUCUGAUGUGGAAAAUCAGCGCCUCCUUUGCCCAGUGAGCCGGGAAAAGGUAAAAGGUGCUGUUUUUUCUUUAGAUAGUCAUACUGCUGCCAGCCCCAAUGGGAUCCCCAACUAUUUCUACCAGUAGCUUUGGGGGAUUAUAGGGACUGAUGUCAGUAGAGAAGUGGCAGAUUUUUUAAAGAGCGAGAGACUGGUUAACAGCAUUAAUUUCACCAAUAUCAUGCUCAUUCCCAAAGUGAGAGGAGCGAUAAGGAUUUAGGAUUUUAGGCAUAUAGCAUUGUGUAAUAGUAUGUACAAGAUUAUAUCCAAGUGAUGGUAGCUAGAUUACCGCUCAUUCUAGCUCGUACCAUCGGGGAGCAACAUGGGGCGUUCAUUAAAAAUAGUCAUUCACGAUCAGAUCGCUGUAGCCAAUGAUGUUGUCGAUCUCUUGGGCUCUAGAAAGGAGUAUUCACUUUGCCUUAAAUUAGACCUCUCUAAGGCUUUUACGAUUGGGUUUCGUGGAAAUUCCUUGCCAAUAGUAUGGCCUCCUUGGGGUUCCAACCAUCAUGGAUAAGUGAUCAUGAAAUGUGUUUAAACGUCCUCUCUCUCAAUGCUCAUCAAUGGAGUGGAGGGUAGGGCAUUUAGCAGCGGCAAGGGUAUCAGACAAGGAGACCCGCUCUCCUCCUAUUUGUUCAUCAUUGUUAUCAGACAAGGAGACCCGCUCUCCUCCUAUUUGUUCAUCAUUGUUAUACAAAUUAUCGCCAGAAAUUUGGGUAGAAGGGUGAUAGAGAGGCAAAUUCUCAUUCCGCUGUGUGUCAAGAAUUUGCCUUGGUUGAGCUCUUAUGUUUGCUGAUGAUUUUCUGAUCUUUGCUAAGGGCUCCCCGAAGUCUGUGAAGGCUAUUAAGGGUUUUUUGGAUGACAUGGAGAAAGUAUCAAGAUUAUCAGUUAAUGGGGAUAAAUCCGUCAUCAUUCCCUUUGUUAUGACUUCAAGUGAAAGGCAGCAAAUUAGUGAUACUCUCGGCUGGUGUCUUGGCCCAUUAAAUACUUGGGCCUUCCUUUAUUUGUGGCCCCAUUGAAAGAGGAACACUACCAGGACUUGAUGCUUAAGCUGGACAUAAAACUGUGCAAUUGGAAAACUUUCUCUUCGGCAGGUAGAUAGUGUGUAAUGAGAUACAACCUGGGCUCGGUGAUCUCCUUCUGGAUGCAGGUGUUUCUUCUCCCUAAGGCGACCACGCUAAGCUGAAACGGACAAUGGCGACUUUCUUAUGGGCUGAAACUAGUACGAUGCAUAGAAGUCACUAUGUAAGCUGUUCCACUCUCACUAAACCGAUUUUGGAAGGAGGGAUUGGUUUAAAAAAGAUAGUGAAUAUCAGUGAGGCGCAGUUGGCUUCUAGAUUCUGCAGGAUUGUAAAUCUGGAUUCCUUCCUAUCCAGAUGGUUAACGAGUAGAUAUCUGAAAUGGUCAUAUAGCAUGUGGUUCAGACAUGAGAGAAGGAAAGGAUCAUAGGCCUGGCAAAGCCUCAAAGCAGGCUGGAGGAAAAUUAGUAGCAAUGCUCCAUUGGAAAAUUGUCUGGGCACACGUGUAAAGUGCUGGCUAGACCGAUGGGCAGAUCAUAAUCUUUGUAGAUUAUCUGAUUGGGGAAGAAUAUGGUACGAAAUACAACAUGUUAGAGAGAUUGGUAGAGGCAAUAUGAAGAUCUAGGGAGCAGCAACACCUUUGGCCUGCUACCUUGUGCAGGGCUAUCGACUCGAUGCAGCUUGCAAAGGGACUGGAUCAGCUAGUCAGCUGACUCAGCUCUUCUAGCAACCUUAAAGCCUAACCAGCCAAGAUAUUUGGGAGGCCAUCCGAGGUAAAGAGGAACCCAAGGUUGAGCUAGAGCAGCUUGGUUCCUCUAUGUCGCGUGCAAGAACAAACUCCCUAUGCUUGAAAAAUGACAGCAGCUAUUAGAUGCUUUUUAUGUCAUAAGGCGGAGGAAAACAACUCCCACUUGUUUUUACAAUGCAACCAAACUAUCAGUCUGGAAUUGGGUUGUCAAGAAAUUUGGACGCUCUCGGAUGCCUUGGCUGGAUUUGAGGAAGGAGGUGGAGCUCUGGUAUAAUGCCAGGCUAGAGCCAGCUUGGGUAAAAAAGAAAUGUUUGGAGUGCUUCCAAAUAGUAAUCUGGAAUAUAUGGUGGUGGAGGAACCAGCUGGUUCAUGAUUCUGUGGAAGAGCUCAAUGUGCAUGUAACCAAGAUCAUUUGGUGUACCUGUCAAUCAGUGUUUAAGGGUCUGCUCAUAUAGGAGAGGGAGAAACUUUUACUGAAAAUAUGGAGAGACCGGACAACAUGGUUGGUUUGAGCUUGGAGCUGGUGAAUUUCAAGCUUAACAAUGGUAGUCGGACUGCAGCAGUUUGGAAAAGCAGGCGACUGGGGAGCUGAUAGUGAAGACUGUUAGUGCUGUCGGGGUAGAGAGGAACCAUAGAUGCAGUUGCUAUCCUCAUGGUUAGAGGAGUAGCACCCUCGGGGAACUGGCUUAAAGGAAAGAUAGAGGGAAGACGAAGGUGGGAGGAUGAAUGAAGGAGAGAGCAGGAAGCACCGGACGGCAUUCAGGUUCACUGCUCUUACACUACGCUGGAAGCUGGUUUGGCUGUGUUCGAAAAUGAAUUCCACGAAGAGAGGCGAGCUACUAGUUGAUCAUGUUAUUAUGUCCACUGGCUUGGGACAGGUUCUGCAACCCGAGCAUAGUUUCCUUGGAAGUGAUACAGCGUUGCACGUGUUGUUCUUAGUCCACCGGAGCAAGCAAGGAUCUUGAUCAAGAAUCCUGACUUAAUUUGAUUUUUGUCAUGGCUCUACUACUCUCGCCUAUUACUCAGCAAAAGCCUUCACUACUUGCUCACCAUGUAAAGCUGUAUAACUUACAGUUAGUGUUUUUUUUACCAUAUGUACUAGUCCAUGUAUGUGUUCUAUUGUUAUUCGUUUAACUGUAAUUAACUGUAUUUGAUAUUCAACUGAAAUUGGUUUUA